UACGUAGGGUGCGAGUGUUGUCCGGAAUUAUUGGGCGUAAAGGGCUCGUAGGCGGUUUGUCGCGUCGGGAGUGAAAACCUCGGGCUUAACUCGGGGCUUGCUUUCGAUACGGGCAGACUGGAGGUAUGCAGGGGAGAACGGAAUUCCUGGUGUAGCGGUGAAAUGCGCAGAUAUCAGGAGGAACACCGGUGGCGAAGGCGGUUCUCUGGGCAUGACCUGACGCUGAGGAGCGAAAGUGUGGGGAGCGAACAGG
rnacentral:rRNA from 1 species